AUUGAACGCUGGCGGCAGGCCUAACACAUGCAAGUCGAGCGGUAGAGAGAAGCUUGCUUCUCUUGAGAGCGGCGGACGGGUGAGUAAUGCCUAGGAAUCUGCCUAGUGGUGGGGGAUAACGUUCGGAAACGGACGCUAAUACCGCAUACGUCCUACGGGAGAAAGCGGGGGAUCUUCGGACCUCGCGCCAUUAGAUGAGCCUAGGUCGGAUUAGCUAGUUGGUGAGGUAAUGGCUCACCAAGGCGACGAUCCGUAACUGGUCUGAGAGGAUGAUCAGUCACACUGGAACUGAGACACGGUGCAGGCUCCUACGGGAGGCAGCAGUGGGGAAUAUUGGACAAUGGGCGAAAGCCUGAUCCAGCCAUGCCGCGUGUGUGAAGAAGGUCUUCGGAUUGUAAAGCACUUUAAGUUGGGAGGAAGGGUAGUAACCUAAUACGUUGCUACUUUGACGUUACCGACAGAAUAAGCACCGGCUAACUUCGUGCCAGCCGCCGCCGUAAAAC
rnacentral:rRNA from 1 species